GCAUAUCAAUAAGCGGAGGAAAAGAAACCAACAGGGAUUGCCCUAGUAACGGCGAGUGAAGCGGCAACAGCUCAAAUUUGAAAUCUGGCCUCACGGUCCGAGUUGUAAUUUGUAGAGGAUGCUUCUGGCGACGUGCCUUCCGAGUUCCCUGGAACGGGACGCCAUAGAGGGUGAGAGCCCCGUCCGGUCGUGCACCUAGCCUCUGUGAAGCUCCUUCGACGAGUCGAGUAGUUUGGGAAUGCUGCUCUAAAUGGGAGGUAUACGUCUUCUAAAGCUAAAUACCGGCCAGAGACCGAUAGCGCACAAGUAGAGUGAUCGAAAGAUGAAAAGCACUUUGAAAAGAGGGUUAAAUAGUACGUGAAAUUGCUGAAAGGGAAGCGCUUAUGACCAGACUUGGGCUCGGUGAAUCAUCCGGCGUUCUCGCCGGUGCACUUUGCCGUCCCAGGCCAGCAUCAGUUCGCGCCGGGGGAUAAAGGUUUCGGGAAUGUAGCUCCCUCGGGAGUGUUAUAGCCCGUUGCGUAAUACCCUGGCGUGGACUGAGGUCCGCGCUCUGCAAGGAUGCUGGCGUAAUGGUCAUCAGUGACCCGUCUUGAAACACGGACCAAGGAGUCGUCUUCGUAUGCGAGUGUUCGGGUGUCAAACCCCUACGCGUAAUGAAAGUGAACGUAGGAGAGAGCUUCGGCGCAUCUCCGACCGAUCCUGAUGUUCUCGGAUGGAUUUGAGUAAGAGCAUACGGGGCCGGACCCGAAAGAAGGUGAACUAUGCCUGUAUAGGGUGAAGCCAGAGGAAACUCUGGUGGAGGCUCGCAGCGGUUCUGACGUGCAAAUCGAUCGUCAAAUAUGGGCAUGGGGGCGAAAGACUAAUCGAACCUUCUAGUAGCUGGUUUCCGCCGAAGUU
rnacentral:rRNA from 1 species